CGGCUGCCUGGGGAAGGGAGGCUGCGGGGUGUGGACUAAACCACUGCGCUCCACACCCACGCGUCCCUCUCCCUCUCUCUCUCCUCGCGGGGUAGGGAGAUGGGGACGGCGAUGCCGGCAGGCAGCCGCAGGGCCCCCCCCCCCCCCCCCCCCCCCCCCCCCCCCCCCCCCCCCCCCCCCCCCCCCCCCCCCCGAUGCCAGCAGGCAGCCGCAGGGCUGGGAAUCAGGAUCGCUGCCUCCCCUCUACAGUUGGGUGUAGGUAGGAUUUACAUGAUUGCUCCUCACCGCUUCCUCUUUAAUGGGCAGCUAAUUUUUCGGUCACCGGCUUCUGAUGCCAUCUGACUAUUGAAUACAUGAUGAGAGAACAGAAUUUAUAGAUUUUAAUCCUUAUAAAUGCUGAAGCAUGAUUAUUAUUCCUGCUACAAUCAAUAAAGUCUUCC
rnacentral:lncRNA from 12 species